ensembl:lncRNA
CUUCUUAGUGGGAUGACUGCUCACAAGGUAUCUAUCUACGCUGUCAGGCAGUAAUAGCCCAACUUAAUUUCUGAGCUAACGUUUACCAAGUUUGUGAGAAACCACACGCCUUGGAGAGGCCAUUCCUUAAAAAUCAGACAGUGGUGUUCAGAAGUUAUGAAAAGAUAAAUAUUUAGCCUUUCUUGUUUUGGAGAGGUUACAGUGGAUAUCACUUUGAGAACUGUUUCAAAUAGUAAAAUCCCAUUUCUUCAACCUCCUAAGGACUAUGCAUUGUACCAAGAGGGCAGUUCCAGCAGCCAUUGAAGAUAGCGUAUGGCAGCACUGCCACAGAGAGACUGUUGUCCUGUUCCCUUUUUCCCUCCUUGUGACAGGCCAGAAUUUUGCUCUUCCAUGUAGUGAGCAGGAAAGCUGAAAGCUGGCCAGACUUUUUGGGGUUAGUUUUAGAGCAGAUCUGUUCUCAUAUCAGGUUCACCAAUGGAUCACUACCACCUGGGUGACUCACUGGUUGGCAAGAGGGGAUCUGAGUGGAGGAGAAGGGGAAUGUCCAUACAGGAACUGUGCUUGCUCACAGCAGCCAGCCAAGAGCCUGAUUCCACUACAGCCGAGGAGAAUCUUUGCUGCUUGCAGGAAGUUUCAAGAACUGAGUGCAAAUCUGAAUUCUUCUUGGGCUGCUGUUUGGACUAUUUUCUCUAGAGGGUUUGUUGGAGCCUCCAUGUAAUUAGGGAAGAGGGAACCCAGUCUUGCUCCUCAUCCCUGUCAGUGGUGUUCUCUUCUGGUGAGAACUGUCUGACAGAAAAUGGUGAUGGAGAAGUACCCCUGGCAGCAUGGCUGAGAGGACUGCUUCUAAGCAGUUCAGUGCCUUUCAGGCAUUUAUACUUAGGUUUGGACUUGAAAAAAUUGCCCUUAAUGGAAAUGCUAAAUGGGGAGAAGAGAGAUCUUGUCUGUAUUUCUUGGUGUGCAUGUGCACCUGCAUGUUUCUCACUGAUAACAUCACUCAGUUCUGUUUGAGGUGUCUGUUCUGAAGCACUCUCCGUGCCUCCAUCAAAACUAAUGAAAAUAUCACCAAAAGAGAACACUUAUCUUGAUGCAGCCCAGGAUUCCCCCCAAAUGAGAAUGAGAACCCUAUGCAAAUUGCAUACUCA